rnacentral:lncRNA from 1 species
AACAAAUCAAAAACAAAAAUUGUCUCCUCUCAUACAUAAACAGUUAUAAUAUUCUUUACUUUGUUUUUAUUUGACUCAUUGAUGAUUGCCUCUCACAGCAUCCCCAUUCAGAGCCAAUGAGAGGAGGGGGAUGAUGAGAUAAAAUUCCCUGAGCUGGGAUUCACAGGGGCUUGGAUAUCAUCUCACAAUUUAUUUUUUAUGUGCUGAUUAACUAUACAAGAAUAGUGCCGAAAAUUAAUCUGAAGUGGAGUAAUAAAUUUCCCCAAACUUAUAACUUUAAAAUUACUUGGGGCUAGUGCCAUCUUAACACAUGGGCCUGAUGGGCAUUUGCCUAGGGGCCCCAUAUUAAUCUAUGCAUGUCAAGUGGUUGUCAUAGGUGCCCCAGCAGAUUGGUUUGCCCAGGGGCCCGUAAUGCUGUUAAGACAGCCCUGCUUAGGGAACAUAUUAAUUUUUUCCCCUGGGCCUGGCAAUGUCUAUGUCUCUUGCCACCCCUGUUCCCAAUAUCACACUUCCAAAAGUAUAAUAAACUUGGCAAAAAAAGCACAGGAAAGGAGUGGCAGCAGCAAAACAAUAAAAAUGCCAUGCCUCUUUUAAUGCCAGAUCUUUGUUUACAUCAAUAUUUUCU